GGCCGCGGGAAUUCGAUUAGAGUUUGAUCAUGGCUCAGAUUGAACGCUGGCGGCAUGCCUUACACAUGCAAGUCGAACGGUAACAGGUCUUCGGAUGCUGACGAGUGGCGAACGGGUGAGUAAUACAUCGGAACGUGCCCGAUCGUGGGGGAUAACGGAGCGAAAGCUUUGCUAAUACCGCAUACGAUCUACGGAUGAAAGCAGGGGACCGCAAGGCCUUGCGCGGACGGAGCGGCCGAUGGCAGAUUAGGUAGUUGGUGGGAUAAAAGCUUACCAAGCCGACGAUCUGUAGCUGGUCUGAGAGGACGACCAGCCACACUGGGACUGAGACACGGCCCAGACUCCUACGGGAGGCAGCAGUGGGGAAUUUUGGACAAUGGGCGAAAGCCUGAUCCAGCCAUGCCGCGUGCAGGAUGAAGGCCUUCGGGUUGUAAACUGCUUUUGUACGGAACGAAAAGACUCUUUCUAAUAAAGAGGGUCCAUGACGGUACCGUAAGAAUAAGCACCGGCUAACUACGUGCCAGCAGCCGCGGUAAUACGAAUCACUAGUGAAUUCGCGGCCGCCUGCAGGUCGACCAUAUGGGAGAGCUCCCAACGCGU
rnacentral:rRNA from 1 species